rnacentral:lncRNA from 1 species
CCUCCUUUCUCUGUUCCUGCCCCGUCCCACAGGGGCUGGUCUGAAAUGUCAUAAAAUCAUGCUUUUUAGCAGGGGUCGCAAUCUGGAAGUCAACUGGACCAGCCAUCCUUGUGUCUGCUGUCUACGCAUUUAGAUUAUCCUUCUACAUAUCUGAGUGCUCAGGAAAUGCAAAUGGCUUGUGAGGAAAUCUCUGGGGUCAGACAUGAGGAUGAAAUCCUUUCUCUAUCAUCUUGAUAGGAUUGCUGUUUGGAUAACUCAAAGAGAAGGACUGAUCCUGAAAGGCUGAAGAACCCAACCUGGUCUCCUAGCAAUGUAGUACCUGAGCUGAACUCCAUCACCUGAAUGGGGUCAGAGGAACUACUGGCUGCAUAGACAUUCAUUCUUUUGGAACCUCAUGUCCAUUGAGAUGUUUGUUUUCCCCAAAUUAAACUGCAGGCCUUGACCAAUUUUUUAUUUCUUGGCACAUCUCCAGG